ensembl:snRNA U7 U7 small nuclear RNA
UAGUGCUACAGUUCUUUUAGAAUUUGUCUAGCAGGGCCAGGCAUGGUGGCUCAUGCCUGUAAUCCCAG